rnacentral:rRNA from 1 species
AACGUAGGAGGCGAGCGUUAUCCGGAUUUACUGGGCGUAAAGCGCGCGUAGGCGGUUGGUCAAGUCGGAUGUGAAAGCCCCUGGCUCAACUGGGGGAGGCCAUUCGAUACUGAUCGGCUUGAGGGUGAGAGAGGAAAGUGGAAUUCCCGGUGUAGCGGUGGAAUGCGUAGAGAUCGGGAGGAACACCAGUGGCGAAAGCGGCUUUCUGGCUCACCCCUGACGCUGAGUGCACGAAAGCGUGGGGAGCAAACGGG